CCUACGGGCGGCAGCAGUGGGGAAUAUUGCACAAUGGGCGCAAGCCUGAUGCAGCCAUGCCGCGUGUGUGAAGAAGGCCUUCGGGUUGUAAAGCACUUUCAGCGGGGAGGAAGGCGUUAAGGUUAAUAACCUUGGCGAUUGACGUUACCCGCAGAAGAAGCACCGGCUAACUCCGUGCCAGCAGCCGCGGUAAUACGGAGGGUGCAAGCGUUAAUCGGAAUUACUGGGCGUAAAGCGCACGCAGGCGGUCUGUCAAGUCGGAUGUGAAAUCCCCGGGCUCAACCUGGGAACUGCAUUCGAAACUGGCAGGCUAGAGUCUUGUAGAGGGGGGUAGAAUUGCAGGUGUAGCGGUGAAAUGCGUAGAGAUCUGGAGGAAUACCGGUGGCGAAGGCGGCCCCCUGGACAAAGACUGACGCUCAGGUGCGAAAGCGUGGGGAGCAAACAGGAUUAGUACCCCUGUAGUC
rnacentral:rRNA from 1 species